AUGGCCUCCCUCCUUAAGCUUAUCUCUUGGGAACUUUGGAAGAAGAGGAAUGCUAUGGUCUUUUGGAACGUCUCCGUGCCUUAAAUGAUUCUCUUGGACAAGAUCAUGGACGAGGAAGGACUGUGGGCUUUGGCGGGUGCCCAAGGUUUAGGCGUAAUUUUACCCCGUGUGUAG
rnacentral:rRNA from 1 species